ensembl:lncRNA
GCGGAUCUAUGGGGCAGAGCCCCCCCAGUGAAAUCUAUGGGGCAGAUCUAUGGGGCAGAGCCAUACCUGUGCCAUCUAUGGGGCAGAGCCCCCCCAGUGCCAUCUAUGGGGCAGAUCUAUGGGGCAGAGCCACACCUGUGCCAUCUGUAGGGCGGAUCUAUGGGGCAGAGCCCCCCCAGUGUCAUCUAUGGGGCAGAUCUAUGGGGCAGAGCCCCCCCAGUGAAAUCUAUGGGGCAGAUCUAUGGGGCAGAGCCAUACCUGUGCCACCUAUGGGGUGGAGCUAUGGGGCAGAGCCCCCCCAGUGCCGUCUAUGGGGCAGAGCCCCCUCAGUUACCAUCUAUGAAGCGGAUCUAUGGGGCAGAUCUAUGGGGCAGAGCCAUACCUGUGCCAUCUAUAGGGUGGAUCUAUGGGGCAGAGCCCCCCCAGUGAAAUCUAUGGGGCGAAUCUAUGGGACAGAGUCCCCUCAGUGCCACCUAUGGGGCAGAGCCCCCCCAGUGCCACCCAUGGGGCAGAUCUAUGGGGCAGAGCCAUCCCAAUUACCAUCUCUUGCACCGAUCUAUGGGGCAGAUCUGUGGGGCAGACCCCCCCCACUGCCCCCCUCCCCCCCCCCCCGGGUUCCCAUCUAUGGGGCAGAGCCCCCCCAGUGCCAUCUAUGGGGCAGAUCUAUGGGGCAGAGCCCCCCCACUGCCACCUAUGGGACAGAUCUAUGGGGCAGAGCCUCCCCCCAGUGCCAUCCAUCUAUGGGGCAGAGCCAUACCUGUGCCAUCUGUGGGGCAGAGCCCCCCCAGUGCCACCUAUGGGGCAGAUCUAUGGGGCAGAGCCAUACCUGUACCAUCUAUGGGGCAGAACCCCCCCAGUGCCACCUAUGGGGCAGAGCUCUCUCAGUGUAACCUAUGGGGCAGAUCUAUGGGGCAGAGCCAUCCCAGUUACCAUCUAUUGCACUCAUCUAUGGGACAGAUCUAUGGGGCAGAGCCAUACCUGUGCCAUCCAUGGGACGGAUCUAUGGGGCAGAUCUAUGGGGCCGAUCUAUAGGGCAGAGCCCCCCCCAGUGCCAUCUAUGGGGCAGAUCUAUGGGGCCGAUCUAUGGGGCAAAGCCAUACCUGUGCCAUCCAUGGGAUGGAUCUAUGGGGCAGAUCUAUAGGGCAGACCCCCCCCCCAGUGCCAUCUAUGGGGCAGAUCUAUGGGGCAGAGCCAUACCUGUGCCAUCUAUGGGGCAGAGCCCCCCCCAGUGCCACCUAUGGGGCAGAGCCAUACCUGUGCCAUCUCUCGUGCUGAUCUAUGGGGCAGAUCUAUGGGGCAGCCCCUCCCAGUGCCCCCCCCCCCCCCCCCCCCCCCCGGUUCCCAUCUAUGGGGCGGCGCUGUGGGGCCCCAUGGGGUGGGCGGAAGUUCCCCCCCCCCCCCCCGCCCCCCCGCCCCACAACAGCUGUGGGGCAGCGCAGGUGGAGGAGCCCCAAAUAGCAGCAAAGAAUCCGUGGGGCGGAAAUGGGGGGGGGAUGGAAGGGGACACCUAUGGGGCAUUCCGGCCCCACACAUCGGCCCCAGCCCCAUAGAUCGGCCCCAUAGCAGGUCCCAGCCCCAUAGAUUGGCCCCACAGUGGGUCCCAGCCCCAUAGAUUGGCCCCAUAGUGGGUCCCAGCCCCAUAGAUUGGCCCCAUAGUGGGUCCUGGCCCCAUAGAUUGGUCUCAUAGACUGUCCCAGCCCCAUAGAUUGGCUCCAGCCACAUAGAUCAGCCCCAUAGACAUUUUCAGCCCCAUAGAUCGGCCCCAUAGCGGGUCCUGGCCCCAUAGAUUGGCUCCUGCCCCAUAGAUCGGGCUAUGGGGCAAAGCUAUGGGGCAGAGCUGUGAGGUGCUAUGGGGCAGAUAUGGCGCUAUGGGGCGCUAUGGGGCAGCUAUGGGGCAGAAAUGUGCGGCAAUGGGAAUGGAUGGAGGAUGAAUGGGGGCUAUGGGGCGCUAUGGGGCGCUAUAGGGUGACUAUAGGGCAUCUAUGGGGCAGAGCAAUGGGGCUCUAUGGGGCUCUAUGGGGCAGAGAUGGUGUUAUGGGGUGCAGAGAUGGAGGACAGUGGGAAUGGAUGGAGGAUGAAUGGGGUCUUUGGGGUUAUGGGGCGCUAUGGGGCGCUAUAGGGCAGCUAUGGUGCAUCUAUGGGGCAGAGCUAUGGGGCCCUAUGAGGCUCUAUAGGGCUCUAUGGGGCAGAGAUGGAGGGCAAUGGGAAUGGAUGGAGGAUGAAUGGGGGCUAUGGGCUUAUGGGGCGCUAUGGGGCGCUAUAGGGCGGCUAUAGGGCAUCUAUGGGGCAGAGCUAUGGGGCUCUAUGGGGCAGAGAUGGCAUUAUGGGGUGCAGAGAUGGAGGGCAGUGGGAAUGGAUGGAGGAUGAAUGGGGUCUUUGGGGCUUUGGGGCGCUAUGGGGCGCUAUAGGGCGGCUAUGGGGCAUCUAUGGGGCAGAGCUAUGGGGCGCUAUGGGGCUCUAUGGGGCAGAUAUGGAGCACUAUGGGGCAGAGAUGGAGGGCAAUGGGAAUGGAUGGAGGAUGAAUGGGGGCUAUGGGCUUAUGGGGCGCUAUGGGGCGCUAUGGGGCGGCUACGGGGCAUCUAUGGGGCAGAGCUAUGGGGCGCUAUGGGGCUCUAUGGGGCAGAUAUGGAGCUCUAUGGGGCAGAGAUGGAGGGCAAUGGGAAUGGAUGGAGGAUGAAUGGGGUCUAUGGGGUAAUGGGGCGCUAUAGGGCAGCUAUGGGGCAUCUAUGGGGCAGAGCUAUGGGGCGCUAUGGGGCUCUAUGGGGCAGAUAUGGAGCUCUAUGGGGCAGAGAUGGAGGGCAAUGGGAAUGGAUGGAGGAUGAAUGGGGUCUAUGGGGUAAUGGGGCGCUAUGGGGCGCUAUAGGGCGGCUAUGGGGCAUCUAUGGGGCAGAGCUAUGGGGCGCUAUGGGGCUCUAUGGGGCAGAUAUGGAGCUCUAUGGGGCAGAGAUGGAGGGCAAUGGGAAUGGAUGGAGGAUGAAUGGGGGCUAUGGGCUUAUGGGGCGCUAUGGGGCGGCUAUGGGGCAUCUAUGGGGCAGAGCUAUGGGGCGCUAUGGGGCUCUAUGGGGCAGAGAUGGAGGGCAAUAGGAAUGGAUGGAGGAUGAAUGGGGUCUAUGGGGUAAUGGGGCGCUAUGGGGCGCUAUAGGGCAGCUAUGGGGCAUCUAUGGGGCAGAGCUAUGGGGCGGAUCUAUGGGGCCGCCCCGUCCUCACCUCCGUGGCUGCGCCUUUGGCCGCUGCGGUGGCUGCAAAACGGCGUCA